GUCGCACCAGAGUGCAGGAGUAAGCGGGGGUUUUGCUGGACCAAGGAUUAAACCCAAGAUGAACUGUUUUGGUUUAAUAAGCCAGAAUUAUUAUUAUUAUUGUUAUUUUUAAUACAUUUUAUCCUUUUCCAGAAUGCAUUUGAGCUUGCUUCUUUCUUUUGGUUCUGGGUACUCCUUUCCUCCUGUAGUUCUUAUGAUUGUUUCAGAAUUCUGUCAUAAAUAAUCAAGGGGGCCCGAUGACAUUAACAAGUUUUACAUUGUUGUCAUUUUGAAUUUUAAUCUCUGGCAUUCCCCUACCUAUGAAUUUUCCCAAAUACUAAUGUGCUGUAUGAAAGAUCAAUGGAGACGCAUUUCUCAACGUUAAAGGCUAAAAAAAGUGGAUUUUGCUUUUGUGUUUCUUCUCGUUUUUUUCUUUUUCCUUGGGUAGAUAGGCAGUUCAUGAAAGUGAUAACAUCAUAUAAGCAGCUUUGACAAAGGUGUGCUUUUAAUGCAGUUGCAGUCCGGGUAUAAUUCGUGCUUCAUAAAGAACCACUUGCUGUUAUAUCUGCGACUAGUUCUGGGGUUUGUGGGACAGUUUUUAUGCAGCUAUAGCACCUUGCCACUAUAUGCACUGGAUACUCAGGUACACGGACGAACCGAGAACAUAAAAUCAGAAUCCACUGUUGCCUUGAAGUUAAAAGAUGCACUGAUCAAUUAAAAUGCAUUGUCCAUACGUUUCCUUCUGAUAACAUUUAAGUGCUGUUUUGGAAUGUAAGAUUGAACCACUCACAAGAAAGAAAAAGGCUGAAAUCUU